GACGAACGCUGGCGGCGUGCCUAACACAUGCAAGUCGAACGGGACCAGGGGCAACUCUGGUUCAGUGGCGGACGGGUGCGUAACACGUGAGGAACAUGACUUUCGGUGGGGGAUAGCCGGCCCAACGGCCGGGUAAUACCGCGUACGACCUUUCGGGGACAUCCCCGGCUGGUGAAAGCAGCAAUGCGCCGAAAGAGUGCCUCGCGGCCUAUCAGCUAGUUGGUGGGGUAACGGCCCACCAAGGCGACGACGGGUAGCUGGUCUGAGAGGAUGGCCAGCCACAUUGGGACUGAGACACGGCCCAGACUCCUACGGGAGGCAGCAGUGGGGAAUAUUGCGCAAUGGGCGAAAGCCUGACGCAGCGACGCCGCGUGUGGGAUGACGGCCUUCGGGUUGUAAACCACUGUCGGGAGGGACGAAUGCCCCGCAAGGGGAGUGACGGUACCUCCAAAGGAAGCACCGGCUAACUCCGUGCCAGCAGCCGCAGUAAUAC
rnacentral:rRNA from 1 species